GACGAACGCUGGCGGCGUGCCUAAUACAUGCAAGUAGAACGCUGAAGAGAGGAGCUUGCUCUUCUUGGAUGAGUUGCGAACGGGUGAGUAACGCGUAGGUAACCUGCCUGGUAGCGGGGGAUAACUAUUGGAAACGAUAGCUAAUACCGCAUGAUAUUAAUUAUUGCAUGAUAAUUGAUUGAAAGAUGCAAUUGCAUCACUACCAGAUGGACCUGCGUUGUAUUAGCUAGUUGGUGAGGUAACGGCUCACCAAGGCGACGAUACAUAGCCGACCUGAGAGGGUGAUCGGCCACACUGGGACUGAGACACGGCCCAGACUCCUACGGGAGGCAGCAGUAGGGAAUCUUCGGCAAUGGGGGGAACCCUGACCGAGCAACGCCGCGUGAGUGAAGAAGGUUUUCGGAUCGUAAAGCUCUGUUGUAAGAGAAGAACGGGUGUGAGAGUGGAAAGUUCACACUGUGACGGUAUCUUACCAGAAAGGGACGGCUAACUACGUGCCAGCAGCCGCCGUAA
rnacentral:rRNA from 1 species